rnacentral:rRNA from 1 species
CAGUAGCCGCGGUAAUACGUAGGUGGCAAGCGUUGUCCGGAAUUAUUGGGCGUAAAGGGCUCGCAGGCGGUUUCUUAAGUCUGAUGUGAAAGCCCCCGGCUCGACCGGGGAGGGUCAUUGGAAACUGGGAAACUUGAGUGCAGAAGAGGAGAGUGGAAUUCCACGUGUAGCGGUGAAAUGCGUAGAGAUGUGGGGGAACACCAGUGGCGAAGGCGACUCUCUGGUCUGUAACUGACGCUGAGGAGCGAAAGCGUGGGGAGCGAACAGGAUUAGAUACCCGGGUAGUCCCUGUCUCUUAUAA